rnacentral:rRNA from 1 species
UACGGGGGGGGCAAGCGUUGUUCGGAAUUACUGGGCGUAAAGCGCACGUAGGCGGCUAUUCAAGUCAGAGGUGAAAGCCCGGGGCUCAACUCCGGAACUGCCUUUGAAACUAGGUAGCUAGAAUCUUGGAGAGGCGAGUGGAAUUCCGAGUGUAGAGGUGAAAUUCGUAGAUAUUCGGAAGAACACCAGUGGCGAAGGCGACUCGCUGGACAAGUAUUGACGCUGAGGUGCGAAAGCGUGGGGAGCAAACAGG